rnacentral:lncRNA from 1 species
ACUGUUAAGGUCCCGGGAUUCACCCACCACCAAGGGAGACCUCGGGCAAUGUAAUCAGACACGGAAAAGGCCCUUUAUUGUGGAACUGAUACGCGCAUCAGUGGGAACCUCUGCCAUCAGAGUUCCAAUUUCCCUCCGAAGAUUCAGUCUUAAAUACUUUUCAGCAUGAAUAGCCUUUGUUGGAAAGUUGCUUUUUGCACCUGGGGUCUCAGUGCUGAAGUUUAUCAGGGACCUUGGACAGGUCCCAGCGCAAGGUCCGAAGCUUAUCUGUCUGUAGGGGCCUUGGCUAGGUUUGAAGUUUAUCUGUCUGUAGCAGGGCCUUGGCAUUUUUCCUGGCUGAAUUUCUCAGGGCAGUUUUCAACUUAGAUCUCCCUCAUGUACCAGGCUCUGUGCUGAACACUUCCCAAAUGUGAUCUCCUUUAAUGGGAACUUCUGUUCCUCCCAACUGGCCAAGGGAAGACUUGAGUGAAGUCAGAGCAGUGAAAAAAGGAAAAGAACCAGCGAGAACAGGAGACAUGGCCCUGGCAGGAGAGGAAAGCAGUGAGAAUUCCAGGAACAUCCAUGGGGGGAAUAGAAUCCCCUGAUGUGGGAGACCCCCCAACCCUUCUCUCUGGGGAGGCUUUCUGCAGGAAUAGGCCAGAGUGCAGGGAUCCCAUUCCAGCAUGGAGUCCCCAGUCUUCUUUCCCUUCCUCCCCUUGUCUGCCCAGGACCCAGGAUUCUCUGGCCCAGGUCCACCAGAUGGUUUCCUAUAGGCAGCCUCUCAGCAUUUAUUAUUCCUCCAAGAGGUGACAGGAAAGGGUAACUAGGGGCAGUGGUGAGGGCCAUUGAAGGUACCCAUGGACAAAAGACCUGAGCAUGUCCUUCUCCAGCCAAGAUUGUGAGAUGAGCCUGGUGGUUAGAGCAUUUGGUGGGAGUGAGACUGUCAAUGCAGAUGGGCUAAGGGUGCUAGUGAGGGCUUUGUUUAAGAGCCACAAAGCAAGGUUGGCCUUUCUCGGGACUUCUUUCUCCUUAUCCAGCUCUUUUUCUCCAGAUCCAGCCCUUCCCCAAGAUAGUAGCCUGGAGGAGAAGGAAGGAGAGACUUCUGGAGUCCUGGCUGCCAGGUUUCAGCCCGCUCCACCAAAGCCAAGACAGGAAGACAAGAGAUCGAGAGAUGGGGCUACACCCAAUUUAUAUCCUGUCUACAUCAGCACAUAACGAAAGGAAGUUGGAGACUGAUUCAGUGGCAUAGUUGGGUCCUUGAGGAAUAAAGUGGUUGAUAUCUUUGGGGUUCA